ACUAAAAUAGCAAAAGGGUUAAUGCAAGAAUUCUAAGCUUUCUUAAUGAAGGUUCGAUUCCUUUUUUUAGUU
rnacentral:tRNA from 1 species